rnacentral:rRNA from 1 species
UACGUAGGGUGCAAGCGUUAAUCGGAAUUACUGGGCGUAAAGCGUGCGCAGGCGGUUUUGUAAGACAGGCGUGAAAUCCCCGGGCUCAACCUGGGAAUGGCGCUUGUGACUGCAAAGCUGGAGUGCGGCAGAGGGGGAUGGAAUUCCGCGUGUAGCAGUGAAAUGCGUAGAUAUGCGGAGGAACACCGAUGGCGAAGGCAAUCCCCUGGGCCUGUACUGACGCUCAUGCACGAAAGCGUGGGGAGCAAACAGG